rnacentral:rRNA from 1 species
AAACCAACAGGGAUUACCUUAGUAACGGCGAGUGAAGCGGUAAAAGCUCAAAUUUGAAAACCCAUUGGGUGUUGUAAUUUGAAGGUUUGACUUUAGGGCCACGGACCAGCAAGUCCAUUGGAACAUGGCGCCAUAGAGGGUGACAGCCCCGUUUGGUCUUGGCCCUAUGCAAAGUCUCUCCAAAGAGUCGAGUUGUUUGGGAAUGCAGCUCUAAGUGGGUGGUAAAUUCCAUCUAAAGCUAAAUAUUGGCGAGAGACCGAUAGCGAACAAGUACAGUGAUGGAAAGAUGAAAAGCACUUUGAAAAGAGAGUGAAACAGUACGUGAAAUUGUUGAAAGGGAAGGGCUUGCAAGCAGACACGAUUUCUUCGGAAAUUGGGCCAGCAUCGGUUGGAUGGGGUAGAUAAAAGCAUAGAAAUGUGGCCCAGUCCUUUUGGGCUGGGUGUUUAUAGUCUGUGUUAAUAUACCCACGUCCGACCGAGGCCUGCGUUCUACAACAAGGAUGCUGGCGUAUAUGGUUGCAAGUCG